CACGUAGGGUGCGAGCGUUGUCCGGAAUUAUUGGGCGUAAAGGGUAGGUAGGUGGUCUCAUUUGUCUGAGGUGAAAUCCUUGGGCUUAACUCAAGAAGUGCCUCAGAAACGGUGAGACUGGAGUCCUGGAGAGGGUCGUGGAAUUCCCGGUGUAGCGGUGAAAUGCGUAGAGAUCGGGAGGAACACCAGAGGCGAAGGCGGCGACCUGGACAGGCACUGACACUCAACUACGAAAGCGUGGGGAGCAAACAGG
rnacentral:rRNA from 1 species